AUGAGAACAUGCCCUUCGGGGUAGAUCUCCCACCCUUUGUUUAUUAUACCUUUGUUGCUUUGGCAGGCCCGUCCUCGGACCGCUGGCUUCGGCUGGCCCGUGCCUGCCAGAGGACCCCAAACUCUGUUUGUUAAUGUCGUCUGAGUACUAUUUAAUAGUUA
rnacentral:misc_RNA from 1 species